AGGGGUGUGGCUCAGUUGCAGAGCACGUGGUUAGUAUGCACAAGGCCCUGGGCUCAAUCCCCAGAACUCCCA
rnacentral:tRNA from 1 species